rfam:Cajanus cajan Scaffold000305_9, whole genome shotgun sequence.
GAGUCGUGUGAUAAACACAAAGCGAACUAUUCUUUCGCCUUUUACUAAAGAAUACCGUGUGUUUGUCAGUAUAAAGCGGCAUACGCCAAUUUUUUAAAAGGGUCUUCUAAAGGGCCCU